AUUCAGCAGACAAGUCUCAAAUUGGAUGAAACGUGCGUCCUGGAU
rnacentral:hammerhead_ribozyme from 1 species